UUACCAGUAAGUGUAAGUACGAUCCUACACAAUUUGACAUCACACACUCCAGCGCCGAAGACAUCAUUAAAGAGCUCCUCCAGAGAGAUCCUGCCAAGCGCUUAGGAGUCCAUGGUAACAUCAGAGGCCAUCAUUUCUUCCAGCAUAUUGACUGGGUCUCUGUGGAAGCCCUUGAGAUGCCACCACCACACAUCCCUGUACCAUCUAUACCUCAACGCUGUCCCAAACCAUUCAACCUGGGCAAAAUGGAGGCAGCCGCCAAGAAGCGACGAUUGCCACUGAAACAUCAGGCCAUUUUCAGAGGGUUAUCAUUUGUCACCCAGUAAACCCUCCACCAGCUCUAAUGUCACCAGAGCAAGAUGUCCUCCUGAGCCCCUGGAGAAGAUGAAUGGAUGGACAGAAGAACAGAUCCAGUAUGAAGACAACAGGUAAGUAUAGACUGGAUCCUGGAAGCCCUCCCUGCGAUUGGACUGAAGGAAAACAUCUUGAAGACAUCUUGACGACAGAGGACACUGAUCCUGGAGCCGAUCCCACUGGAUGAUGGAUGUGUACGGGCAUUUGAUCCAGGGACUAUUUUCCCACUGCUUUAUUUGCAGUCUGGAAGGAGUGUUUUUCCCCUUAGAUUACGACAGAUUGGCAGAUGUCAUAAAGGGGUUUUUUCUCUCCUUCUUCUGGAUCAACACAGUUGCCCUCCCCAAUUCAGCCAUUCACCUAAUUCAAAGUACAAUUUGGCCAACCCCUUGCGGACCGAUUAUUUAGUGAUUGAUUCUGGGACUAAUCUGACUGCCAUGCAUGGAGUCGGGAAGGAAUUUUUCCUCAUUACAAGCUGAUGGCUGAGGCUCAGUGAGGUUUUUUCGCCUUCCUCUGGAUUAAUAAUAUCUGAUCCAGGGAAAUCGUCUGACUGCCCUAAGCGGAGUCGGGAAGGAAUUUUUCCCCCUACAGGGGGUUUUUUCGCCUUCCCCUGAAUCAAUAAAAGUCAAUGGAUGUAACUUAUCCUCGACUUUGAUUUGCAAUUUACACCAAAACUUCAGUCCCAUCAUUAAUAAGAUUAUAAAUUAAAUAAAAUUCUCCAU